rnacentral:rRNA from 1 species
CAAUAGCGUAUAUUAAAGUUGUUGCAGUUAAAAAGCUCGUAGUUGGAUUUCUGCUGAGGACGAUCGGUCCGCCCACUGGGUGAGUAUCUGGCUCGGCCUUGGCAUCUUCUUGGAGAACGUUGCUGCACUUGACUGUGUGGCGCGGUAUCCAGGACUUUUACUUUGAGGAAAUUAGAGUGUUUCAAGCAGGCGCACGCCUUGAAUACAUUAGCAUGGAAUAAUGAGAUAGGACCUUGGUUCUAUUUUGUUGGUUUCUAGAGCUGAGGUAAUGAUUAAUAGGGAUAGUUGGGGGCAUUCGUAUUUAACUGUCAGAGGUGAAAUUCUUGGAUUUGUUAAAGAUGGACUACUGCGAAAGCAUUUGCCAAGGAUGUUUUCAUUGA